GACGAACGCUGGCGGCGUGCUUAACACAUGCAAGUCGAACGGAAAGGCCCUGCUUUUGUGGGGUGCUCGAGUGGCGAACGGGUGAGUAACAAGUGAGUAACCUGCCCUUGACUUUGGGAUAACUUCAGGAAACUGGGGCUAAUACCGGAUAGGAGCUCCUGCUGCAUGGUGGGGGUUGGAAAGUUUCGGCGGUUGGGGAUGGACUCGCGGCUUAUCAGCUUGUUGGUGGGGUAGUGGCUUACCAAGGCUUUGACGGGUAGCCGGCCUGAGAGGGUGACCGGCCACAUUGGGACUGAGAUACGGCCCAGACUCCUACGGGAGGCAGCAGUGGGGAAUAUUGCACAAUGGGCGGAAGCCUGAUGCAGCAACGCCGCGUGCGGGAUGACGGCCUUCGGGUUGUAAACCGCUUUCGCCUGUGACGAGGCGUGAGUGACGGUAAUGGGUAAAGAAGCACCGGCUAACUACGUG
rnacentral:rRNA from 1 species